GGUAGCAUGGCCGAGCGGUCUAAGGCGCUGGUUUAAGGCACCAGUCAUUUCGAUGGCGUGGGUUCGAAUUCCACUGCUGCCA
rfam:Ciona savignyi cont_33917, whole genome shotgun sequence.